ACCCCUCUCUGGAGAUCGCCCCACCAUCACACACACCUGGACCACCGGGGCUCAGCUCACACCCCUCUCUGCUUCACCACUGGGACACAUAGAUGAUAAUGGCACGUUACACCUGUCUGGUGUCCAGAGGGAUGCAGCAGGAGAGUAUCGGUGUACUGCUGAGAACCUGUCGGGGCGAGACCAGCAGAGCACCAUCCUCUCCAUUCAUGCUGCGGACGAGCUUCCUCCAGAGGAAGAAAGUGUGACAUUUCCUCCACCCACAAAUAUAACUCAACAGCAUACUACAGGCUUGAACCUAUCAACUUUAACUCAACAGCAUACUACGGGCUUGAACCUAUCAACUAUAACUCAACAGCAUACUACGGGCUUGAACCUAUCAACUAUAACUCAACAGCAUACUACAGGCUUGAACCUAUCAACUAUAACUCAACAGCAUACUACAGGCUUGAACCUAUCAACUAUAACUCAACAGCAUACUACAGGCUUGAACCUAUCGACUAUAACUCAACAGCAUACUACGGGCUUGAAUCUAUCAACUGAUUCGAACACAGGAAGUGGUCAGCAGUAUGACAAUUACACAAAGAAAUCAGGUAAUUGCAAUUUUCAAGAGAUUCAAUAUUUACCGAUAACUCAUUUUGUGUUAACCCUAGAAAUAGAGAUUUUUUUUUUUUAAUCGGUUUAUUUUUGUUUGAGAAUUGAAUGUAGACCAUUUCCAUAUGGAUGCAUUUUUUGUUUUUAUUUUCAGAUGCUCUGCUGAAAGACGACUCACCAAUCAAUUCUGAAUUUGUUCUACCUGAUACUGUAACUCCCCCCAUAUCAUUACCUAAUUCAGAAACUGUUCUACCUGAUACUGUAACUCCCCUCAUAUCAUUAUCUAAUUCAGAAACUGUUCUACCUGAUACUGUAACUCCCCUCAUAUCAUUACCUAAUUCAGCCAGUUUAGUACAUAAGAAGCUUAAGCAGUACAUAGGUCAACCAACAGGUGACACAUCAGAGUUGUCCAAUUUAAUAUUUCAAAAUACAGAGACGACAAUUCUGUCUACUCAACCCCUACAGUCUAACUUAAUACAAACGCACACACCGUCUCCAAAACUUCACGUUGAGCUAUCUGUAACAAAUGCUCAGCGUUCCUAUGGAAACACACAUUUACCUACAAGCACUCCACAAAACCCCAGAACCCAAGAAGUUUCCCCAAAAAAAUACUCAAUUACUGAGCCUUCUUUCGUAGACGCCCAGACACCAAGCCUGUGCCUGCUUCCUGUUGACCCCCCAACCCAGACUCU